UACGAAGGGGGCUAGCGUUGCUCGGAAUUACUGGGCGUAAAGGGCGCGUAGGCGGAUACUUAAGGUCGGGGGUGAAAGCCCGGGGCUCAACCUCGGAAUUGCCUUCGAUACUGGGUAUCUUGAGUUCGGGAGAGGUGAGUGGAAUGCCGAGUGUAGAGGUGAAAUUCGUAGAUAUUCGGCGGAACACCAGUGGCGAAGGCGACUCACUGGCCCGAUACUGACGCUGAUGCGCGAAAGCGUGGGGAGCAAACAGGG
rnacentral:rRNA from 1 species